rnacentral:miRNA from 1 species
UAUGCCACGCUUCUAGGCAAAGUCUUUGACUAUAGCGAUUGUUUGUGGUAAAACUCUAAAGUAAUUACCGCAAACAAACGCUAUGGUCAAAGACUUUGCCUAGAAGCGUGGCAUAUAAAUAUG